CAGUUCAGAUUGCAGGCUGCAACCCGCCUGCAUGAAGUCGGAAUUGCUAGUAAUCGCGGAUCAGCAUGCCGCGGUGAAUACGUUCCCGGGCCUUGUACACACCGCCCGUCAAGCCAUGGGAGCCGGGGGCGCCUGAAGUCCGGGACCGCGAGGACCGGCCUAGGGCGAAACUGGUAACUGGGGCUAAGUCGUAACAAGGUAUC
rnacentral:rRNA from 1 species